UACGUAGGGGGCGAGCGUUGUCCGGAAUCACUGGGCGUAAAGGGUGCGUAGGCGGCCUAGCAAGUCCUGUGUGAAAGGUCUCGGCUUAACCGAGGAAGGUCAUGGGAAACUGUUAGGCUCGAGUGCCGGAGAGGGCAGUGGAAUUCCCGGUGUAGCGGUGAAAUGCGUAGAGAUCGGGAGGAACACCAGUGGCGAAGGCGACUGCCUGGACGGUAACUGACGCUGAGGCACGACAGCUGGGGGAGCAAAC
rnacentral:rRNA from 1 species